UGUAAAUGUCUUUCCCUAUUCCAAGAUUCUUCUUGCAAUUGUGACAGAAGCUGAGAAAACUUUCAGAUGGAUAGCACAUUGGAGGACUAGUAAAAGUUUCAUUUUCUUUUCUUGAUGCAGAGUACUUAACAACACCACAACAGCUUUCAAGAAUACAAUCAUCAAAUAUAUGAGUUGUUCUUGGAUUUGGACCAUGUGAAAUUACACAAGUAUACUCCUCAGAAAGCUCCAUUUCAGCAGCAGAUAGACUACUAAAAGCCCCUGGUGAAUUUGGGAUAUCUAUGUUAGAAUUUGAGGAACCAAAUGGAGAUUUCUUCACAGGAGACAAAGAACCUAACUGAGAAUUCCUAGUCUUGAUACCAAAAUCACCAGGUGAAGGUGGUGAAUCAGUAGGGUAAUUAAAAGUAGGAGGCAAUGUAGGGAUCUGAAUCUUCAAUUGUGAACCAAGAACAACCAUUCUGCUAACAGAAUUCAUCUCUUUAGAAUCAGAUUUUUCAUCAAUCAGAGCAUCAACAAGACCAAGACCAACCCCUUUUGAGUCAAGUUUCUGAAAAUGAACUCUACUUUCUGGUUUAGGAGAUUUUGGCUCAGACCAAAAGGGGUUUCUCAGAACAGUGAAAGGUUUACUAUCAAGAAUUGAAGUAGGACUCAUAAUAGACUCAGUAUCAGGAAACCCCUUAGCAGCAAAACAAGUAAACAACCUUGGUGAACCAAAAAAAGAAGAGGUUUUUCUUGAAUUCUCCAUUGGAAAGGGUAAAGAAUUAUAAUCUGCCAUUAUAAACUUUGCUUAAAAAAUUCUGAUCUUGAACUUCUUCUUAUUCCUUGAUUAUUUCAGCUUGAAAACACCAUCAAGAUUCAACUUUUAAGCAACCCCAGAAACUAAUUUGUACCAAAAAAGCAAAGAUCCAAGGAUGAAUAAAGCAACUUUCUUUCAACAAGAAGAAUCCAUCAUAUCUGAGAACCGACAUGAGACCUCAAUAGUCAUCAUCAACACUAAACAUUUACAAAAGCAACAAAAAAAUUAGUCAUCUUUUUCUUUCUCUUCCCCUUGCUUUUUUUUUUCCUCUCUUUUGUUUCUUGUGAAUACUUACAACACUAUAUUAUUUCAGCAAAAUUGCAUCAUAAAGACACAAAGCCUUACAUGCAGA
rnacentral:misc_RNA from 1 species